rnacentral:rRNA from 1 species
UAGCGGUNAAAUGCGUNGAUAUUAGGAGGANCANCCAGUGGCGAAGGCGGCUUUCUGGACUGUAANUGACANUGAGGCAUGAAAGCGUGGGGAGCAAACAGGAUUAGAUACCCNUGGUAGUCCACGCCNGUAAACUAUGGGUACUAGGUGUAGGGGGUAUCGACUCCCCCUGUGCCGUCGUUAACACAAUAAGUACCCCGCCUGGGGAGUACGGUCGCAAGACUAAAACUCAAAGGAAUUGACGGGGGCCCGCACAAGCAGCGGAGCAUGUGGUUUAAUUCGAAGCAACGCGAAGAACCUUACCUAGACUUGACAUCUCCUGAAUUACCCGUAACUGGGGAAGCUCUUCGGAGCAGGAAGACAGGUGGUGCAUGGUUGUCGUCAGCUCGUGUCGUGAGAUGUUGGGUUAAGUCCCGCAACGAGCGCAACCCUUAUCGUUAGUUGCUACCAUUAAGUUGAGCACUCUAGCGAGACUGCCCGGGUUAACCGGGAGGAAGGUGGGGAUGACGUCAAAUCAUCAUGCCCCUUAUGUCUAGGGCUACACACGUGCUACAAUGGUGAGGACAAAGAGACGCAAGACCGCGAGGUGGAGCAAAUCUCACAAACCUCAUCCCAGUUCGGAUUGCAGGCUGAAACUCGCCUGCAUGAAGCCGGAGUUGCUAGUAAUCGCGAAUCAGCAUGUCGCGGUGAAUACGUUCCCGGGCCUUGUACACACCGCCCGUCACACCAUGAGAGUUGGCAAUACCCGAAGUCCGUGGGGUAACCGUAAGGGGCCAGCGGCCGAAGGUAGGGUCAGCGAUUGGGGUGAAGUCGUAACAAGGUAGCCGUAGGAGAACCUGCGGCUGGAUCACCUCCUU